GCCAGGAUAGCCGAGCAGUUAGAGGCGUUGGCCUGAAAAGCUAAUAAGUAUUGUGGUAUACUGGGUUCGAUUCCCGGUCUAGGCC
rnacentral:tRNA from 1 species